GUAAGGCUCUGUUAACUUACAGUUCAGGGCUUCGCGGUUCUUCGUGGGACUGGACGGAUAGCCACGGGUAGCCAGAACUCCAGAGAGCCCAGGACUCUUCGUGGACAUACCCUGUUAGACUACAUCGCCAGAUUCCCCAUCGAAUUAUCCCCACUCAGAGAUACCCCUUUGGUGUGAGUCAUGAUAAUGACUAUGAAGGGCCAAGUGUGUGUGGUAACUGGGGCCUCCAGGGGUAUUGGCCGUGGCAUUGCCUUACAGCUUUGCCAAGCAGGUGCUACAGUUUACAUUACCGGCCGCCAUUUGGACACCCUUAGAGCUACUGCCCAGGAGGCACAAUCCCUCGGGGGCCGGUGUGUACCAGUGGUGUGUGAUUCAAGCCAGGAGAGUGAGGUGAAAAGCCUGUUUGAGCAAGUAGAUCGGGAACAGCAGGGGCGGCUAGAUGUUCUGGUCAAUAAUGCCUAUGCUGGUGUACAGGUAACCUUUUAACUCGAUCCAACUCUCCAUUCCAAACCCAACCCCCAACCCUUGAGUCUUUAUCUCCAUGCAUGGUCCCACUAACCAGCCCUUUAUACCUUCAUGCCAAUCAAUCACCCAGUUAAUCACUCUCAUGUCCUCUAGGCAAUCCUGAACACCACCACCAAGUCAUUCUGGGAAGCACCUGCCUCCCUUUGGGAUGAUAUAAACAAUGUUGGACUCAG
rnacentral:lncRNA from 1 species